rnacentral:rRNA from 1 species
GGAAACUGUUAACCUAGAGUUUGGUAGAGAGUUCUGGAACUCCAUGUGGAGCGGUGGAAUGCGUAGAUAUAUGGAAGAACACCAGUUGCGAAGGCGAGAACUUGGGCCACAACUGACGCUUAGGCUCGAAAGUGUGGGGAGCAAAUAGGAUUAGAUACCCUAGUAGUCCACACCGUAAACGAUGGGUGUUAAACGUCGGGAUUUAAUCUCGGUGUUGUAGUUAACACAUUAAACACCCUGCCUGGGUAGUACAUUCGCAAGAAUGAAACUCAAACGGAAUUGACGGGGACCCGCACAAGUGGUGGAGCAUGUUGUUUAAUUCGACGAUACACGUAGAACCUUACCUAGACUUGACAUCCUUGGCGAAGUUAUAGAAAUAUAAUGGAGGUUAACCGAGAGACAGGUGGUGCAUGGUUGUCGUCAGCUCGUGUCGUGAGAUGUUGGGUUAAGUCCCGCAACGAGCGCAACCCUUAUCGUUAGUUAUUUUGUCUAACGAGACUGCCAACGCAAGUUGGAGGAAGGUGGGGAUGACGUCAAAUCAUCAUGCCCCUUAUGUCUAGGGCCACAAACGUGCUACAAUGGUCGGUACAAACAGUCGCUAAUUCGUAAGAUAGAGCUAAUCUGUAAAGCCGAUCUCAGUUCGGAUAGAGGGCUGAAAUUCGCCCUCUUGAAGUUGGAAUCACUAGUAAUCGCGAAUCAGCCAUGUCGCGGUGAAUACGUUCUCGGGUCUUGUACACACCGCCCGU